AUAGCGUAUAUUAAAGUUGUUGCAGUUAAAAAGCUCGUAGUUGAAUUUUAGGCCUGGUUGGACGGUCUGCCUCACGGUAUGUACUGUCUGGCUGGGGCUUACCUCUUGGUGAGCUUGCAUGUCGUUUAUUCGGUGUGCAAGGGAACCAGGACUUUUACUUUGAGAAAAUUAGAGUGUUCAAAGCAGGCAAAUGCCCGAAUACAUUAGCAUGGAAUAAUGGAAUAGGACGUGCGGUUCUAUUUUGUUGGUUUCUAGAGUCGCCGUAAUGAUUAAUAGGGACAGUUGGGGGCAUUAGUAUUGAGUUGCUAGAGGUGAAAUUCUUGGAUUUACUCAAGACUAACUACUG
rnacentral:rRNA from 1 species